rnacentral:rRNA from 1 species
CCCUAGCUGGUCUGAGAGGAUGACCAGCCACACUGGAACUGAGACACGGUCCAGACUCCUACGGGAGGCAGCAGUGGGGAAUAUUGCACAAUGGGCGCAAGCCUGAUGCAGCCAUGCCGCGUGUAUGAAGAAGGCCUUCGGGUUGUAAAGUACUUUCAGCGGGGAGGAAGGUGUUGCGGUUAAUAACCGCAGCAAUUGACGUUACCCGCAGAAGAAGCACCGGCUAACUCCGUGCCAGCAGCCGCGGUAAUACGGAGGGUGCAAGCGUUAAUCGGAAUUACUGGGCGUAAAGCGCACGCAGGCGGUCUGUCAAGUCGGAUGUGAAAUCCCCGGGCUCAACCUGGGAACUGCAU